rnacentral:misc_RNA from 1 species
GAUGAAGAACGCAGCGAAAUGCGAUACGUAAUGUGAAUUGCAAAUUCAGUGAAUCAUCGAAUCUUUGAACGCACAUUGCGCCCGUCAGUAUUCUGGCGGGCAUGCCUGUUCGAGCGUCAUUACGCCCCUCAAGUCCCCUGUGGACUUGGUGUUGGGGAUCGGCGAGGCUGGUUUUCCAGCACAGCCGUCCCUUAAAUUAAUUGGCGGUCUCGCCGUGGCCCUCCUCUGCGCAGUAGUAAAACACUCGCAACAGGAGCCCGGCGCGGUCCACUGCCGUAAAACCCCCCAACUUUUUAUAGUUGACCUCGAAUCAGGUAGGACUACCCGCUGAACUUAAGCAUAUCAAUAAGCGGAGGA